AACCUUUAGCUAAAACAAGUAUUAAAGGCGACGCCUGCCCAGUGAGUAUUAAACGGCCGCGGUACCCUAACCGUGCAAAGGUAGCAUAAUCAUUUGUCUAUUAAUUGUAGACCUGUAUGAAAGGCAAAAUGAGAGCCCAACUGUCUCUUAUAACAAAUCAAUAAAACUGAUCUUCUAGUACAAAAGCUAAAAUAUUAACAUAAGACCAGAAGACCCUGUGAAGCUUUAACAAACCCAUUAAAUCUAAUAAUGAUUACUUUCGGUUGGGGCGACCUUGGAAUAAAAAAGAACUUCCAACAUAUGACUACUCAUAAAAGAGGCAAACAAGCCUACAUUAGACCCAGCACAGCUGAUAAUUGAAAUAAGUUACUCCAGGGAUAACAGCGCUAUCUUCUUUAAGAGCCCAUAUCAAAAAGAAGGUUUACGACCUCGAUGUUGGAUCAGGACAUCCCAGUAAUGCAUCCGUUACUAAAGGUUCGUUUGUUCAACGAUUAACAGUCCU
rnacentral:rRNA from 1 species